GGUGCUUGCACCGGUGAUUAGUGGCGAACGGGUGAGUAACACGUGAGUAACCUGCCCUUGACUCUGGGAUAAGCCUGGGAAACUGGGUCUAAUACCGGAUAUGACUCCUCAUCGCAUGGUGGGGGGUGGAAAGCUUUUUGUGGUUUUGGAUGGACUCGCGGCCUAUCAGCUUGUUGGUGAGGUAAUGGCUCACCAAGGCGACGACGGGUAGCCGGCCUGAGAGGGUGACCGGCCACACUGGGACUGAGACACGGCCCAGACUCCUACGGGAGGCAGCAGUGGGGAAUAUUGCACAAUGGGCGAAAGCCUGAUGCAGCGACGCCGCGUGAGGGAUGACGGCCUUCGGGUUGUAAACCUCUUUCAGUAGGGAAGAAGCGAAAGUGACGGUACCUGCAGAAGAAGCGCCGGCUAACUACGUGCCAGCAGCCGCGGUAAUACGUAGGGCGCAAGCGUUAUCCGGAAUUAUUGGGCGUAAAGAGCUCGUAGGCGGUUUGUCGCGUCUGCCGUGAAAGUCCGGGGCUCAACUCCGGAUCUGCGGUGGGUACGGGCAGACUAGAGUGAUGUAGGGGAGACUGGAAUUCCUGGUGUAGCGGUGAAAUGCGCAGAUAUCAGGAGGAACACCGAUGGCGAAGGCAGGUCUCUGGGCAUUAACUGACGCUGAGGAGCGAAAGCAUGGGGAGCGAACAGGAUUAGAUACCCUGGUAGUCCAUGCCGUAAACGUUGGGCACUAGGGUGUGGGG
rnacentral:rRNA from 1 species